rnacentral:lncRNA from 10 species
GUUUCACUGUGUUAGCCAGGAUGGUCUCGAUCUCCUGACCUCGUGAUCCACCCAUCUUGGCCCCCCAAAGUGCUGGGAUUACAGGUGUGAGCCACUGCGCCCGGCCUAUCUGUGCACUUUAUUCUGUUUCCUCUCUUUGUCUCAUUUCCCCGCUCGCUCACUCCGCUUCUUGGGAUCACAACUCUCUCCUUCACCAGCUUGAAAAGCUUGGGCCCCAAGACUAUGGGGAAGACAAGAGGCAUGGUAAGGGUGGGAUGAGCCACACAGGGAUGCCGCAGGAGAGCUGGGGAAGGCUGGAAGCCAACCUAGGGCAGCCACAACCCUUCUUAGGGCCAUGCAGCCCUUCUUAGGGCCAUGUGUCCCUUCUGGAUCAGAAAAGUUAAUGCAGGAGUAGGAUUUAAACUCAGAGCUAUCUGGCUCCCAAACCCAGUCCUUAACCAGUAUACUCUGCAGCCUCCCUUUCUCUGAUUCUCUCUCAGCCUUUUUAUUUUUAUUUUUUAAGACAGAGGCUGUAGUGCGUGGUAUGAUCUCAGCUCCCUGCAACCUCUGCCUCCUGGGUUCAAGCGAUUCUCCUGCCUCAGCCUCCUGAGUAGCUGGGACUACAGGUGUGCACUACCACACCCAGCUAGUUUUUUUGUAUUUUUAGUAGAGACAGUUUCACCGUGUUGGCCAGGAUGGUCUCGAUCUCCUGACCUCGUGAUCCACCCACCUCGGCCUCCCAAAGUGUUGGGAUUACAGGCGUGAGCCACCGUGCCCGGCCUGAAGAGGCUCUUUCUAAAUAAUGCAGGGCUCUAAGAUCCCAACACUGGCCUUCCUAGAAGGCAGAACUGAAUCCCCUGGGCCCCUUCUGCAGAUGGACCAGGAGGUGACCUGCUCAUGACCUGAUGUGACAAAUUGCAUUUUCAAAUGCGACAGUGUCAUCUCCCAUCCCACUUGCUCUUCUUACAAUGUGACCUUGCCAGUCCUCAUGAAAAGGAGGAGUUACGUUAGGUCAUUGAAAGGUGAUGCCGCUGCUGCCUGGAUCUCUCUCUUGAAACCCUCAUCCCUGGAGCCCAGCCAUCAGACUGUGAGGAAGCCUAGGUCACAUGGAAAGGCCACGUGUAAAUAUUGUGGCCAACAGUCCUAGUCAGGACCAGCUACAUCAUUUGCAGAGUCCAGUGCAAAAUGAAAUUGUGGAGUGGCUGGGCACAGUGGCUCAUGCCUUUAAUCCCAGCACUUUGGGAGGCCAAGGCAGGGAGAUCACUUGAGGCCAAGAGUUUGAGACUGGCCUGGCCAACAUGGCGAAACCCCGUCUCUAAAAAAAAAAUACAAAAAGUGGCCAGGUGUGGUGGCUCACGCCUGUAAUUCCAGCACUUUGGGAGGCCAAGGCGGGUGGAUCACCAAAGGUCAGGAGCUCGAGACCAGCUUGACCAACAUGGUGAAACC